AACGAACGCUGGCGGCAUGCCUAACACAUGCAAGUCGAACGAGACCUUCGGGUCUAGUGGCGCACGGGUGCGUAACGCGUGGGAACCUGCCCUUAGGUUCGGAAUAACUCCCCGAAAGGGGUGCUAAUACCGGAUAAUGUCUUCGGACCAAAGAUUUAUCGCCUUUGGAUGGGCCCGCGUUGGAUUAGCUAGUUGGUAGGGUAAAAGCCUACCAAGGCGACGAUCCAUAGCUGGUCUGAGAGGAUGAUCAGCCACACUGGGACUGAGACACGGCCCAGAAUCCUACGGGAGGCAGCAGUGGUGAAUAUUGGAAAAUGGACGAAAGCCUGAUCCAGCAAUGCCGGGUGAGUGAUGAAGGCCUUAAAGUUGUAAAGCUCUUUUACCCGGGAUGAUAAUGACAGUACCGGGAGAAUAAGCUCCGGCUAACUCCGUG
rnacentral:rRNA from 1 species